rnacentral:rRNA from 1 species
AGAGCUGGACAGUCUCGGUGGCGGGACGGGGGUUUAGCGGCGGCGAUGAUAGGGGCCCCCUUUUAUAGCCGCCGGACGUCGUGACCGGGUGGCGGCCAAGACGGCCGACCAUUACGACGACGGUGAAAUGAAUAAAAUUAAUUAGUUGGUCUAAGGUCUCCGGAGCAUAGUAAAAGAAGAAGGGGUGGUAGGUGGGCAGAGGUAGUGGGUAAGAGGAGGAGGGAGAAGAGGCAGGCAGUUAGGGGGAGAUAGAGGAGGGGCGUGGUCGAGAACAUGAUGAGCCUCGUGGAGGUGGGGACUGGGGCUGAGGCUGGUGGGUAGGUAGGCGAAGAACGAAGAAGGCGACAGGCCCGGUUCUUAGACUCUAGGACAGGCCGCGGCGGCGAACAAAGAACUACCGGCGUAUCUACCGUCCUAGUUGAAGUAAAACUCGAACAGGGUGUUCCAACGUUAGUGGUCAUACAGUCGAUUCCGAAGUCUUGCAUGUAUAUCUACGAGUCUACUAAGUGUUUACCGCAUGAUGUUGUUGAGCCACGGAAAUCGUCUUUUACCUGCCAAGAUAUACUACGUUUUAGUAGACCUACAAGUGAUGUGUAGAAGUCCACUACCCAGUGUCUUUUAAUCAAGGUUAGGAGUUCAUAAACUUCGUGUCAUGACGUGUGAGCUUAGUAGUAGCCGUUUACCACAAAUAGGAUGUGUCUCGAGGUGUAGAAGAGUAUCGUAGAGGGGAUAUUCACCCUCGGGGGACAGAGUCUUACUAUCGGUGAGUAUGGUGUGUAUACUAAGUGGGGGUUGACGAAGUACACAAUGGCUCUAUGGCCUAAAGGUCUCAUUUGACUUCCUCGAUCUUUUACGUUAAGAACCUGGACUUAACCUGUAUCGGAGACUGUCGGGGCUCUCGAAUAACGUUCGGUUGGUAGGAAACUUUGUUCUAUUGACCUCUGUCGAAGACCCUUAAUUGUGUCCUCUGAACUUCGUCCACUAGUAUCGUACGCCAUUCCGACAACGACGCUUACUAUACAUACGUUGUCUUGAUAACUAUAGACUCGAUCCAGUCGACCACAGACAGAGACCUCUAGGUUACGUUGCGGAUCCCCGUAUAUACAACCUUCCGGAACACCGGUCCGAGAGAAAGAGACCUUCAUUCGACAUAUUUAGGAACUUCACGUUUCUUGGAUGUUCGAGACUCGAGUACAGAAUGUACGUAGAGGAGACACUCUAGACGGGCAAGAUGUUCAAACCAAUGUACAGCCGGUUACCACGGUAUCGUCUCCGAUAGUUUCCGCUCUUGAAGCAAGUGUAGUAACUAAAGGUUUAGCGUGUCCCCUCGGUCACCUAUUGAUAGUAAGUCCGAGAACGUCGCUCCGGGCCCCCAGGUGGUAAGGAUUCUUAGUGACCAUAUCUACUGAGUUUGAGACGAAUACGGGCUCCACCACCUGACCUAUACCAACCCUGUUCUAACGUAUCGUAGAGACGAAGCACACCGGAAGGGAAACUCAAGUUACGACAGGUACGACGAUCGGUACUCCAAAUAUAAGUCGUAGAACUGUGUUCUGGACCCCUCCGAUAACAUCACUUAAAACGGAUAGUCGACGUGGUAUGAGGACUACUUUCGCACUCGCACCUUUUAGUGGCCCUGUCCUAGUAUUCUUACUAGUUCUCGGACAGGGGAUCCCACCACUGAGAACAACUCGUCCUCAGCUUGUGUUUGUGUUCACGUAAGAACGGUUCCAUGAACCUCUGGGAGCUGAUGAUAUGCCGUUACAAACUCAGUUAUCUACAACGAGAUGGUUCCCUACUAUUCUCCGCCUAAUCGUGCCUCGUUGUGACACACCGUUCCCUAUAGCAGUUAAAUUAGCGCACGCUCCCACGACUUUCCCAACUCUCCGUGCUCCACAAACCCUUUACCUUCCGCUCCAAACGUUACCGACCUAAGUCCGGCAUGGGCGACUCAAGCCACCACUUGUUGUGGUAGUUUUGCGACGACCUAUCGAUGGUGUCAACGAUGUCCGAACUCCUCUCCCUGCCUCAGGAAAUGGAACCAACCUUCCCGUCUCACAACCAGCACAGAAGACGCACCACGACUGUACAGAACUCCUCUUCGAGUACAGUAUACCUUGGACUCGAAUAGUCAAAGUCUACCUUGGACUCGAAUAUAUUCCCGAAACGACGAACAGACGUGGUCCUCAACGACACUACUAUGGCGCUGUCGGCACUGAAUCUUCUUCCGUAUCACUAAUUUAUUUAUUUAUACAAGUAUCGAUCCUUAAACCACACAACACCAAACGAGGGCAACAAGAUCCUAACUGUACGAACAUUAUAUGACAUGAUGAUUAAUCUCCUACAAAUCUCUGCUAAUUUCCCAUACGUCCGUGUUCUCCGCCGACAACGUACACAGGAGUGAGAGCACCUAAACACACUACUACUGCACUACCAAAUAAUGCUGGAGAAGACGACGAACGACGGGACUUUAUUAUGAUGUCAUGACUUACAAUAUCGCAUGACUAAGUCCUCUUUUCAGAUCCUUUAUACACUACUUGGACACUGCAUGAUCAUAUUACGGCGAGACCUCCCUCUAGGUCGAGUGUAGGUUUAGACACGUUAUACCUUUCGAGAGCUUCGAGUAGAAGAGACUAUGAAGAAGUUCGAUCCUCACAUAAACAUAAACUUUUUCUUCCCAGAAACCUUCUUAAUGGUUGUUAGGAGACGCGAAGAGUAAAGACCUUAUAAGUUGACACGCUUGAAGUAAGUCAGUGGCUAAUACGAAAUAACUUUUCCAGUACGAAGACCUUCUGACGUCGGAAAUAACUGGCUGGGGAAGUACAGUGGAGGCCUUAGCACAACGACGAGAAACGUUUAAUAGAAGGUAAGCAGUAACGAGGGUCCCUCCAGAGUAGAGUCGAGUCGUACCUCCAAGACUAAAGUCGUCAACGCCCGCUAGAACAGCCGUCCAAGUAGAGAAAGGACCGAGUUUUAAUACCGUGGGUGUGUACACUCCUCCUCCUAGCAUCUUCCAACCUUGCGUAGAACGACUCCUACGUGUGGCAACAACUUCUUCGUCUCCCCGCCGCGUAGUGUUUAGCUCCCUACGAGGCCGUCGACUUCCGCGAGUAGCUCCCAUACAUGGAACCCAUGAUGUACGACCUGUCCGAGUCCCAGGUCAGGGAACCUCUUCUCUCGCAGCUCCUACUGCUCCACUCAAUAGCCUCGGUUAGAAAACGGCAAAGAUGAAAAUUAUGGCGGUUCGCGGAAGCAAACCGACAACGACGAAGAUAUUGCUUCUUGUGUGGUCAUCGUAAACCCCGGCCCUCGUGUUGUUUCAACUUUUCACAAGAACUUUCAAACCUCCGAGUAUGGCGUCUAUACUCUCUCAAACACUACGAGGAACCGUCGACGGGAGCGGACAGAGCGGUCGGUAUGCUAUGUAUAGAUGUGUACCUAUUCACGUACAAACCAGCGGUGUAGCUCUUUCUCGUUGAGGAGUUGAAGAAUGAUACGUCACUACUAUCAGUACUGCCUUGUUUAAAGACGUAGGAAGGCUAGUAGCCGGGCACGUCUCAGCCUUUCUUUUGAGACCACGUUGUACGAACGUCCCUACUCUCCCACGCCCCAGCAAAGAGGGUGUACAAAAAGAUAUUUCCGCUACUGGGCGUAUAACCUCUUAAACGCCGCUUGACGUUCCGUCCGAGCCCCUUCAUGAAUAAACAACAACUAAAGUCGACCCUACACCUACGCCACCGUACCCUCUUGAAGGCUAGUACGGACGUCUUCUACGGUCCACGAACCUCAUUUUAACAUCACUAUCCGUGUUGUCUAGUUCAACGAUUUUACCCUUGACGGGUUGGGUAGUCCUACUUCUCAAACGGGGUUCUUCUUAUGACCAUGAAGAAGUUCCGUGAACGGAAACCUUCGUACCUAGGACUACUCUUGGGUUCUGACCGUAGAGACCCUUACGUCAACCGAUGAGUGGAUUUACCUAGAAAAGAACCACGUUUAUAUUAACCACCCCAUAAUUCUCGAUUAGGACUAUGAUUUAAAACCACGUUGUACAAUGACUCCUAUUCUCUUGAUCAAGCCUGCGUGCCGAGGAAGCCGUAUGUGGGGCUCCUGGAAAAGCUCUCUUUAUAGGGACAGUUGAAGUGGUUCAGCAGGAUACACCCCCGAUUCUAAGUUCCUACAACCCGAAUGCUAAACUCCCUCUGACCGGGCCUCGUUUCACUCGACGGCUUUGACUGUACCGUUGUUGACGAUUGGCCACGACUUUAAGGACUACUACUUCUGUCCAAACUACACAACCGUACCUCUAGAGCCUAGGGUGGAAUGGCGCUGAUGUAGCAAUGAAAACUCUUUGUCUUUGGUGCAGCAUUCCAGUCGUCCUCCUUAGUAGACCGCGGUUCUUUUUGUAGCCGUAUUUACAAUUAGACCGUUUGUGUUCACGUUCCUACUUGAUAUAUACAGGAAUAGGAUAUCCAGUUAUCCAGUAAUAAGACGAGGACACAAAUGAGUAUCGACAUACAUGGACGGGUACAAUGACACCUCUACAUUUUACGGUAGUCACUUAUAACUUGAGAGAAUGACGCCUCUGUUCAG